GCGGAGUCAUAGGUGUAUUGCUUUUGUUCUCGAACUAACAAAAAAUAAUCAAUAAUAAUGUAAUUAGAUAUAUAUGCAUACAUACAAAACAUAACCAAUAAUGUACUUAUAAAUUAACAAUACUUAUAAUGUUUUCCUCAAUUCAUUUAUACCCAGCUCGAGAAGCUCGGUAUGGAUAUAAAGGCUUGGAUGCCCUCUUGCGGUUUUCAUUACUUGAUUUUUAAAACAAUAAACAACAUUAAUAUCAACAAUAAUAUAAAAGUUAAUAUAAAGAAUAUGAUUUUACCAAGAAAGACUCGUCUUGUGUGCGUAGGGUGGCAAUAAUCUUCCAAUCUUCUUAAUCAAUGAUAUUUGCAUAUUUAGUUGGAGGUUUUAGGUUGACAUUGCCAUCAACAUCUCUGAGUAAUUUUUCGGCAUCGGUUCGGAAUUGUCGGAGAGCCUUGCUAGUCGAUUUAAGGAUAUAUUCCUUAUGCGCCUCACCAAUAUCAAAAGUUGACUGAAAUAAAAACACAUAUAUAUUAUAUAUUGCAUAAAAAUACAUGCAUAUACGUACAUUGCAUGAAAACAUAACACAUAUACGUACAUUGCAUGAAAACGUAACACAUAUACGUAUAUUGCAUGAAAACACAAAAACUGAAAAAUAAACUUACUGUUAUUUCAUUCCAAAUACGCUCCUUCAUGAUAUUCCCUACAUCACUCCAUUUGUUGAAUGUUAGCUUCACAUUCUGCCUAACAACAACACCAAUGUAGCUUACUAAUAUGUUGUCACCCUUU
rnacentral:lncRNA from 1 species